UGCAGUCGAGCGGUAGAGAGAAGCUUGCUUCUCUUGAGAGCGGCGGACGGGUGAGUAAUGCCUAGGAAUCUGCCUGGUAGUGGGGGAUAACGUUCGGAAACGGACGCUAAUACCGCAUACGUCCUACGGGAGAAAGCAGGGGACCUUCGGGCCUUGCGCUAUCAGAUGAGCCUAGGUCGGAUUAGCUAGUUGGUGGGGUAAUGGCUCACCAAGGCGACGAUCCGUAACUGGUCUGAGAGGAUGAUCAGUCACACUGGAACUGAGACACGGUCCAGACUCCUACGGGAGGCAGCAGUGGGGAAUAUUGGACAAUGGGCGAAAGCCUGAUCCAGCCAUGCCGCGUGUGUGAAGAAGGUCUUCGGAUUGUAAAGCACUUUAAGUUGGGAGGAAGGGUUGUAGAUUAAUACUCUGCAAUUUUGACGUUACCGACAGAAUAAGCACCGGCUAACUCUGUGCCAGCAGCCGCGGUAAUACAGAGGGUGCAAGCGUUAAUCGGAAUUACUGGGCGUAAAGCGCGCGUAGGUGGUUUGUUAAGUUGGAUGUGAAAUCCCCGGGCUCAACCUGGGAACUGCAUUCAAAACUGACUGACUAGAGUAUGGUAGAGGGUGGUGGAAU
rnacentral:rRNA from 1 species